rnacentral:rRNA from 1 species
GACGAACGCUGGCGGCGUGCCUAAUACAUGCAAGUAGAACGCACAGUUUAUACCGUAGCUUGCUACACCAUAGACUGUGAGUUGCGAACGAGUGAGUAACGCGUAGGUAACCUGCCUGGUAGCGGGGGAUAACUAUUGGACACGAUAGCUAAUAUCGCAUAAUAUUCAUUAUUGCAUGAUAAUUAAUUGAAAGGUGCAAUUGCACCACUACCAGCUGGCCCUGCGUUGUAUUAGCUAGUAGGUGAGGUAACGGCUCACCGAAGCGACGAUACAUCGCCGACCUGGGAGGGUGAACGGCCCCACUGGGACUGGGACACGGCCCAGACCCCUACGGGAAGGAGGAGUAGGGGAACUUCGGCAAUGGACGAAAGGCUGACCGAGGAACGCCGCGGGAGGGAAGAAGGGUCUCGGGUCGGAAAGCUCUGUUGUAAGAGAAGAAAGGGAGGGGGAGUGGAAAGUUCACGCUGUGACGGUAUCUUAUCAGAAAGGGACGGCUAACUACGUG